rnacentral:rRNA from 1 species
CCCUUAGAUGUCCUGGGCCGCACGCGCGUUACACUGAUGCAUUCAACGAGCUUAUAACCUUGGCCGAGAGGCCUGGGCAAUCUUGUUAACGUGCAUUGUGAUAGGGAUAGAUUAUUGAAAUUAUUAAUCUUGAACGAGGAAUUCCUAGUAAACGCAGAUCAUCAAUCUGCAUUGAUUACGUCCCUGCCCUUUGUACACACCGCCCGUCGCACCUACCGAUUGGAUGGUCCGGUGAAGCCUCGGGAUUGUGGUUCUUGCCGCUUUGUUGUGGCGUGACCGCGAGAACUUGUCUAAACCUUAUCAUCUAGAGGAAGGUGAAGUCGUAACA